GAAAGAAGAAACAAAAAA
rnacentral:sRNA from 1 species